AACGAACGCUGGCGGCGUGGAUAAGACAUGCAAGUCGAGCGAUGAUUACGGGGUAGCAAUAUUCCGUAGUUGGAGCGGCGCAAGGGUGAGUAAUACGUGGGUAAUCUGCCAUGAAGUCUGGAAUAACUUGUUGAAAGACGAGCUAAUGCCGGAUGUGAAAAGCGGGAGGCAUCUCCUGGUUUUCAAAGCUGGGGACCGAAAGGCCUGGCGCUUCAUGAUGAGCCCGCGGCCUAUCAGCUAGUUGGUGAGGUAACGGCCCACCAAGGCAAAGACGGGUAGCUGGUCUGAGAGGACGACCAGCCACACUGGAACUGAGACACGGUCCAGACACCUACGGGUGGCAGCAGUCGAGAAUUUUUCACAAUGGGCGAAAGCCUGAUGGAGCGACGCCGCGUGGGGGAUGAAGGGCUUCGGGCUCGUAAACCCCUGUCAUUUGUGAGCAAGUGUUAUAGUUUUAAGAGAUGAUGACAUUUGAUAGUAGACAAAAGGAGGAA
rnacentral:rRNA from 1 species